AUUUUGAUCGCAUGAUCGAAAUGGGAAAGACGGAGCAAUCUGUCACUUAUAGAUGGACCUGCGGCGCAUUAGCUAGUUGGUGAGGUAAUGGCUCACCAAGGCGACGAUGCGUAGCCGACCUGAGAGGGUGAUCGGCCACACUGGGACUGAGACACGGCCCAGACUCCUACGGGAGGCAGCAGUAGGGAAUCUUCCGCAAUGGACGAAAGUCUGACGGAGCAACGCCGCGUGAGUGAUGAAGGUUUUCGGAUCGUAAAGCUCUGUUGCCAGGGAAGAACGCUAUGGAGAGUAACUGCUCCAUAGGUGACGGUACCUGAGAAGAAAGCCCCGGCUAACUACGUGCCAGCAGCCGCGGUAAUACGUAGGGGGCAAGCGUUGUCCGGAAUUAUUGGGCGUAAAG
rnacentral:rRNA from 1 species